rnacentral:rRNA from 1 species
GAUGAACGCUGGCGGCGUGCCUAAUACAUGCAAGUCGAGCGAAUGGAUUAAGAGCUUGCUCUUAUGAAGUUAGCGGCGGACGGGUGAGUAACACGUGGGUAACCUGCCCAUAAGACUGGGAUAACUCCGGGAAACCGGGGCUAAUACCGGAUAACGUUUUGAACCGCAUGGUUCGAAAUUGAAAGGAGGCUUCGGCUGUCACUUAUGGAUGGACCCGCGUCGCAUUAGCUAGUUGGUGAGGUAACGGCUAACCAAGGCAACGAUGCGUAGCCGACCUGAGAGGGUGAUCGGCCACACUGGGACUGAGACACGGCCCAGACUCCUACGGGAGGCAGCAGUAGGGAAUCUUCCGCAAUGGACGAAAGUCUGACGGAGCAACGCCGCGUGAGUGAUGAAGGCUUUCGGGUCGUAAAACUCUGUUGUUAGGGAAGAACAAGUGCUAGUUGAAUAAGCUGGCACCUUGACGGUACCUAACCAGAAAGCCACGGCUAACUACGUGCCAGCCGCCGCUGUAA